UGCAGUUUACUUUUACUUUUCUUUUCUUUGUCUGUGUCGGGCUUUCUUUGGUCAUACGUGGAUGUAGAAUUUUACUGAAGGAACCGCUUUGACGUUUUCUGGAGAGAUCCCCUGCCUCGAUUUCCUCCCCGUGCUCUCUCCUUCUUUCCCCCACCGCCCCAUCGUCUCCAGGCCAGGGCCGGUGCCUUCCGCCCCGUCAUUUUCUUCCUCCUCCGGCAGACUACAUGGCGUCCCUCCAGCGAGGCACGACCCCGUCGUCUUCCUCCUGUUCCUCCGGUGUCCCUCUACUCUGACCCUCUUCCAUCCGGUGCAGGCCCUCCAUCCUCCGCCCUCCACGUCCAGCGCCGCCGUCUCCUCUUCCGUUUCCCCGCCACCGCUAUGCUAGGCCCGCCCGUAUGCGUGUGUCCGUGAAACCUUAGCCCCGCCAUGGGCUUGGUCGCCGGCACUGCUCUACGGCGGCUGCGCCUCUACUUCUACUACUGCCACUCUGAUGGGCCAACGCAACGGGAGGCCGUACCAAGAGGAGCAACACCGAGGGGAUCACCUUGCGGCCGGCCGUCAUCGCCAUGUCCCGAUGCGUCAGUGUGACCUCAGUUCCAAUCCACUACCUCAUGGCAGCGCUCAUCUCCAUGACAGGACGAGCAGAUCUGCAGCCCCAGCAAUGGCCUCCUCGGUGACAUUGGCAGAGCCAACAAUUGCGAGGCGGACGGACGAGGCCUGGAUCGACUCAGGCAGGCUGUCCCCGUAAGCCUCUUCAGAGUCAAGAAGAAAGGGCGUCAAAAUUCAGGAUCUCUCUUCCGUUAGUUGGUAUGGUGGCAUAUGGUUUGGUUGCUGCACUUUAUCUGCAAGAAAACAUCGAGGAAUUACUCCCUGGACUUGAUGACUUAAAUUUUCUUUUCAUUCUGAAUACAAAAUUUGUUGGGGACGUCUUGUGUAUACUGCCUAUCGUGAGCAUUCAUCUCAUUCACACAAUUUCUUAUCGGAGUAAAUGAAGGUGUGUGCUUCCUUAAAACCGUCGGUGUGUUCCUGUUAUUCGGUUACACUUUCUGUUGAUCAAUUAGAACAUCCAACUAAAAUGUUGUUCAAAGGUAUUCUUAGUUUCUUACAGAACAUUGGCUUGGUGCGUGUCCAGUGGUUUGUUGGUCUUCAGUUAGCUUUAGCUGUCAUGGUUGCUCUUACUUUGACAAACUCCUAUUAAUCAGCUACUACUCAGUUAAAGGGGCAAGGUUAGUAACGUUGGAUAAUGGAAGCCUCAAUAAAAAUACAAAUUAUAGGGCAUCUUUGUUAUUUACUUGAAGUUUUAGCAGCGUGCUUUAGCAGAAAGCUACUUUUUUUCCUAUUUAUUAUGUUUUUAUGAGUCUCUUGCGUGGGAUCUCUGGUUAGUAACUCUAAAUGAUGGGAAUCCUCAAGGUAAAUACAAGUUAAAAAGCAUCUUUGCUAUUUAUCUGAAGCUUCAUUAGUCUGCUUUAGUAAAAAAGCAACAUAUUACUUUCUACUAUUAUGGUUUUAUGAGCAUCUUCCAUAGAGAUACGACUUUUUUGUGCAACCAUUGUACCUUUUUUUUAGGGACCAGCCAUUUGAUAGGCAUCGCACGUUGUGCUAGGUAGUCAACUUCAGUUUGUAGUCUGCAUACUCUUUUUUUCUUAAAUUCAUUACAACUAACUUAUGUAUUUCCUUUUUCUUUUUAUACAGCACAGAUGAUUUUGUAUUACAGUAGAACAAUAUGAAACAGAGAUAACAACUGAAUCAUGCCCAUUUGCUAUUUAACUUGCAAGACACCUACACUAUGUUGGUGCUGAGAUGUAUGGAGCGUUUUGGUGUUCUCAUUACAAUGAGCAAAAACUGGGCAAGUUUCAUACUUCUAAAAGGUGCCAUAAAUAAUGGACGAGUUCAGGCUGAAGAUUAAAGAAGAAGCACAUAUCAGACGUGUCACUGAGGAGUCAGUUUAAUCGAAACUCGACAUCGAAAACAGAGCCAUCCAAAACAGAGACAUCGAUGCUUUCUAUCAGAAGGAAGGUGAGAAGCCCCAUGACUGCAUAGAUGUCAGCUGCCUAGCCUUUCACAAGGAGUCCAACGGUCGUGAUCCCCAACACUGUUGGCAAAGGCAUGUAAAUCAGCCUCCUUUUAUCUCACGAAGAAGAGGCGACUUUGCUAAAUACUGAUUGACCUCCAAUUAGAAAUAAUCCAGAAGAUUUUCCAACAAUUGUGUUCUAUGAUUUUAGGCUCCGGUUACCAUGUGUGAUUGGAUACGAUGACUUCCAGGGAUGGCAUAUUCAGCUUUACCUUCGAUGGUAUAUAAUAAAUAUGUGACGAGAUCCCAUGCAUA